UACGGAGGGUGCAAGCGUUAAUCGGAAUUACUGGGCGUAAAGCGCGCGUAUGCGGCCAAGUAAGUCGGAUGUGAAAGCCCCGGGCUCAACCUGGGAACUGCAUUCGAUACUGCUUGGCUAGAGUAUGAGAGAGGGAGGUAGAAUUCCACGUGUAGCGGUGAAAUGCGUAGAUAUGUGGAGGAAUACCGGUGGCGAAGGCGGCCUCCCGGCUUAAUACUGACGCUGAGGUGCGAAAGCGUGGGGAGCAAACAGG
rnacentral:rRNA from 1 species